UAAAUAUUUUCAUGUUUUUCUUAAUCCUAAUGAUGCAGUAGUUCGGUUCUCUUCUCUUCUCAAAUGUUCUUAUACAUACGGAGUCUCUGUAAAUUCCGAUGAUGAUGUUUCGUCCAAGUAGAAUCCAAGGCGAUGAUGAUGAUCGGUAAGGGUAAGAUUGGAAAUCUUUAAUCAAUACCGAUUCAACCGGAUAUUGAAUCUAGCUUCGGCGACGCUUUAAUCCGAGACUGACUACGACGGAAUUGAAAAGUAUAGAGAGGAAUCGAGCGAGAGAAACAUUGGAUAAGCGUAGGAAGUGGUUUGGUUGGAUGCACACAGGACAUCUUCGUAGAGUUGUAGCCAUGUCUCUGUAGCGUCUCGUAGAUUUGCAGCCAUGUUUGUGUAGCGUCUCGUCAUGGUUCUGAAGAACUAUUGUGGAAGAAAGAAGUUGUUGGUUUUGAGGAUCCCAGAAGCCUGCUUAAAGUACUUGACUCAUGGUAUGCUCCUGAGAGAAGUCCUUAAAGUGUUGAUACUUUUGAGUCCAUAGCCUUCUGCUCACCAGAGAAGAGGAUUUACAGGCUUUAUACAGAGAAAAGUUAUAGUAAUGACUUGCAGCCGCAGACGUAUCCUUAAAUAUUCGAUAUCAAACCUUGCAAACACAGUUCUGACCUUGUAUUGAUGACGUGGUGGUGCUCUCAGAGAGGCUCAAAGAGUAGCAGAUGAAGCUAAAGCUAGGUUGGACACAUUGAUAGAGAUUACCUCACAUUGUUGAACUUCUACCACACUUUAUAAGCAAAACAGCAAAUCCCAAUUGGUGCUAUGAAAACUUCAUCAACAAUAAAGCAAUGAAAUCUGCAGACGAGAUGUUAUACAUCAGCUAGUCCGGAUAGAUAAUGUCAAGGUUCAACCUGAAGAUGUGCAGCACUGGUGUUUUAGCUACUACAUCAACAUAAGGAAGGCCAUGCUUACUUACAACGCAGUGGCCAUUAAUUACUUUGACAGUCAAAGACAACUCACCAAGUGGUUCAUUUCCAUCCAUUAAAUGUCUUGGAUCACAAAACUGAGUGGGUAAGUUCUUACAUUUCCUGUUCUUCUUUUCUUUGGUUACUAUCUCGAGGUAUUAAGCAAGGUUCGUAAUAAUCCUCGUAUUUUAAUUUGGUUUGGAGAAUUAAAAAUUGUGUCAUGUUUACUACAAGAUGAUUCUCAUGGGUUUGUUUUGUAACAAGCAGUUAGCUUUCUCGUUUGUGGUUUCAAAUUACAGAAUGACCACCAAAUCCCUUCAGGAUACUCAAGACAUCAGCCUUGUCAGGUAUACUAUAUAUUUUCUUAUC